AAAAUGAAAGCCCAAAACUUGAGAGGAAGAAUGUUAAUUCAAAGAUUUGUAUUUUAAGAUUCAAGUUCUGAAUUUAUCACUGUAAAUGACAUGUAUUGAAUAUUGGGUUGCCGUUUUACAACUGACUUAUGUUAAACAAAGAAUUGCAUUUUCAAAUGUGUAAACCAUAUCCUUAUUUUCUUUUCUAAAUAUUCCCCAGUAGCUUGUGUACAGAUUCUUGUAAUAUUUAGUGUAUUGCCUAGUCUUCAUAGCAAUGACUGCUCUCAACCAUAAUGCAUUGUAAACUGAUUGAACUUUGAGUAUGAAUAAUGAUACCAUGUGUACAAUUAACAAUAAUACACGUCAGCACGUUAUUGGUCCAAGUUGUGUACAAUCAACAGUAAAAAGCACGUUGCUAUGGAGACGUGAACCAGAAGCCUGCAAUACUUAUACGUGUUUCCCCCAUUUUAAAUAUUUUUGAUUGUUUCUUGUAUUAACAAACCUUGACCAUGUACAGAUUUUGUUUUGUUAGGGAUGACCAGCAGAUCAGCAGAAAUAGUGACAGUGCUCUGUCCAGUGUUUCAUUGUAUUAAGAGGAGCUAGGGGUAUUUUUGAUCACCAGGUUUUCUAUUCAAUAGUUUCACCCUCCAGGCCCUCUUUUGGACCCAACCGAUUCAACAGUUUGAUCAGUGGCUACACACAGUGGACACGAUCUCCCGACAGCCAAGACUGGGGUUUUAUCGUUUCUCUAUCAAGAAAAUUGUUAUGAGUCUAGAUUAUUCAUGUUGACAGGGAAGCCACCUUUCUCUGUUCUUCAUCGAGCCUCUUAUUUCUGUUGAGCCGACUGUACAUUGCUGUUGAGAUGUGUUCACAUAGUUUAUACUUUAUAUUAUACCGAUACAGUGCCAGCUCUGUGUUCUGAAUCUAUCAGAUAAUGUCACGGUCAGCCAGUUCGCAAUAUUGUCUCCCUUUUCUUACGGAAAUAAAAUUAUUCUAGUUCAUU
rnacentral:sRNA from 1 species